AUCAACUAUGGCCUGAGUAUGAUACACUUAUCCAUGGUUUAAACAGAAUAUAUUGUUUUCAACUUUGAAAAUUAAAAUAUGGAAAUCCAGAUGCAGAAAUGUGAGAAGAGUGGAAGGUCAGGUGACCUUGCCUGUCACGAAUAUGAAGGUCAAGGUUUGUGAAUUGUGAAAUGUCCAAGAGAACCUCACUGAAGCAAAGAAUGGAGAAAGAACGCAUUUGGCCCUGGGAGGGUGCAGGGGUGAAUGGUGCAGGAGCUAAAUCUUUAUCAUACCCAGAAAUCAACAGCCACUAUUUGAAAUCAUCUAAAUUCACGCUGCUAACCUUCAGUGUACACACGAAUCACCUGGGGAUCUUAUUAAAAGCUAGUUUCUGAUUCACUAAAUCUGUGUGCAGUGGAAGUUGAGGGCAGAGAAGCUCCCAAGGGUGUCAAGCUGGCCCUGAACCAGACUUUGAGGGUUAAGGUCCCAAAUGGCAUCGCCAGCACCAGGGACAGACACUAAAAUUGUAGAAAUCGUGUCAAGAAAUGAACAGCCUCUAAGUCACAUGUUGAAUGUGAAAGAAAUCAGGGUGUGUACGUGUGUGUGUGUGCACGUGUGUGCCUCUGUUUGUCUCUGUGCAUGUAUGUUUCCAUGUGUGCACAUGUGUGUAUGUGUCUGUGCAUGUGUGUUUCUGUGUGUGUGCCUGUGUGUGUAUUGGCUUAGAUCUGUUCGAGACUUUUUAUUUGAUGAGAUCGAUAUAUGUC
rnacentral:lncRNA from 1 species